CUGAGAGGCUCCAAGCGUCCUUGCUAAUUACUCAGAGAUAUUAUUAAAAAUAAAAAUGAGCUGGAGGAAGCUUGACCUGUCUUAAGAUCGCAUGCAAGUCUGAAGGACUCCCCAGGAAUCCAGAGCACAAAGAUCUUUGUUUAGGCCACAGCUCAGCCUGGCCAGCAACCUCUGUCUAGACUUGUCUGCUAUCUACUUCCUACUCCAGCUGAGACAGAUUCUAUUUGAAAAGACUGCAUUGAGGUUCAUGCGAACCAGCUGUUUCUCAAGAUUUUCGGAUCUCAGCCUGUCCUAUAAUGGAUUCUGAAGAGGCUCCAUGUCAACCAGGGCUACCUGACAUGGUGGUAAAUUUUUGUUUGACACACACUCAGAUUUGCUGUAAGUUUGGCAUGUAGAAAGUUCUUUACUGUUAUGGUGCUAAUGAGGUGCUUUAGGUAAAAACUCAGACUCAAACAGUAAAGUCCUCAGUAACUAACUUAGCAAUAUGAAAGUAUCAUUAAAAAUCUUUCUUUGGUCA